rnacentral:rRNA from 1 species
GACGAACGCUGGCGGCAUGCUUAACACAUGCAAGUCGAACGGAAAGGCCCUGCUUUUGUGGGGUGCUCGAGUGGCGAACGGGUGAGUAACACGUGAGUAACCUGCCCUUGACUUUGGGAUAACUUCAGGAAACUGGGGCUAAUACCGGAUAGGAGCUCCUGCUGCAUGGUGGGGGUUGGAAAGUUUCGGCGGUUGGGGAUGGACUCGCGGCUUAUCAGCUUGUUGGUGGGGUAGUGGCUUACCAAGGCUUUGACGGGUAGCCGGCCUGAGAGGGUGACCGGCCACAUUGGGACUGAGAUACGGCCCAGACUCCUACGGGAGGCAGCAGUGGGGAAUAUUGCACAAUGGGCGGAAGCCUGAUGCAGCAACGCCGCGUGCGGGAUGACGGCCUUCGGGUUGUAAACCGCUUUCGCCUGUGACGAAGCGUGAGUGACGGUAAUGGGUAAAGAAGCACCGGCUAACUACGUGCCAGCAGCCGCGGUGAUACGUAGGGUGCGAGCGUUGUCCGGAUUUAUUGGGCGUAAAGGGCUCGUAGGUGGUUGAUCGCGUCGGAAGUGUAAUCUUGGGGCUUAACCCUGAGCGUGCUUUCGAUACGGGUUGACUUGAGGAAGGUAGGGGAGAAUGGAAUUCCUGGUGGAGCGGUGGAAUGCGCAGAUAUCAGGAGGAACACCAGUGGCGAAGGCGGUUCUCUGGGCCUUUCCUGACGCUGAGGAGCGAAAGCGUGGGGAGCGAACAGGCUUAGAUACCCUGGUAGUCCACGCUGUAAACGGUGGGUACUAGGUGUGGGGUCCAUUCCACGGGUUCCGUGCCGUAGCUAACGCUUUAAGUACCCCGCCUGGGGAGUACGGCCGCAAGGCUAAAACUCAAAGGAAUUGACGGGGCCCCGCACAAGCGGCGGAGCAUGCGGAUUAAUUCGAUGCAACGCGUAGAACCUUACCUGGGUUUGACAUGGAUCGGGAGUGCUCAGAGAUGGGUGUGCCUCUUUUGGGGUCGGUUCACAGGUGGUGCAUGGCUGUCGUCAGCUCGUGUCGUGAGAUGUUGGGUUAAGUCCCGCAACGAGCGCAACCCUUGUUCACUGUUGCCAGCACGUUAUGGUGGGGACUCAGUGGAGACCGCCGGGGUCAACUCGGAGGAAGGUGGGGAUGACGUCAAGUCAUCAUGCCCCUUAUGUCCAGGGCUUCACGCAUGCUACAAUGGCUGGUACAGAGAGUGGCGAGCCUGUGAGGGUGAGCGAAUCUCGGAAAGCCGGUCUCAGUUCGGAUUGGGGUCUGCAACUCGACCUCAUGAAGUCGGAGUCGCUAGUAAUCGCAGAUCAGCAACGCUGCGGUGAAUACGUUCCCGGGGCC